GCCUUCGUGGUGUAGUGGUCAGCCCGCUCGAUGCGUAACCGAGAGGUCCGUGGUUCGAUUCCUGGCGAAGGCG
rfam:Stegodyphus mimosarum contig70908, whole genome shotgun sequence.